CAGCAGACACGAGUGACCCGCUUCAGCAGAUCUGUAAAAUUUUGAAUGCGCACAUGGAUUCAUUGCAGUGGAUUGAGCAGAACUCAGCCGUGUUGCAGAGAAAGGUAGAAGAGGUGACAAAGGUUUGUGAGAGCCGCCGCAAGGAGCAAGAGCGCAGUUUUCGGAUCACGUUUGAUUGAAUGACUCAAAGUUUGAAGGGUUAACCUAAAAUCUCCAAGAAAACAGAGGUGGUUGGGGACCUAGGUCUCAGCUUAUGAUCUGGGUUUGUUUCUUUUCUUGCAAUAAAAUUUGUUGUUUGUUCCAAAGCCAGUCUUUGCAGUGUCUGACUGGCAUUCACCCGCUCCAGUCUGAGCGACUGCGUGAAGUUUGUGCUGAAAGUACGUGCUCUUCGUCUCUGUUCUUUAUGACUGCAUGCAGACUGGUGAGAUACACAAAUGCUGCCCUUGAGGGAUUUAAGCAGUAUGUGACUCCGCGGCUGAGCUCUCCAGUACUUAAAUGUGACUUGACUAUGUUCAGUUGGGACUUCAGAAGCUUUUAUUCAGGUCCUUACAGAGGUGGUUUAAUGAAGAGCUGUCCUCAGAAGGAGCUGCAGCAGUCUGAGAGACUCCAAUUCCUCAUGCCGCUAGCUGGAGUUUGUGUUUAAAUUAGGUAUGCUUCCACUUCUGAAAGCGGGCCUUGUUUUCUGUACUUUUGGCAAUAAAGUGCUUUUGUGCAGGUA